GUGGGAAAGAAAGAGAGACCAGCACAUACACUAAUAUUGGCACGGUACAGAGAAGAUCCGCAUGGCCCCUGCGCAAGGAUGACAUGCAAAUUCGUGAAGCGUUCCAUAUUUUU
rnacentral:snRNA from 1 species